UCUAGGAGAAAUGGCAGGCCUAUCAAAUGAUUCAAUUUUUUCCACUGUGUUCAAUUGUUUUGAUUUGUAUCCCACUGCCAUUCUGGUUUGUUCUAUCACUCACUUAUAACUGAACUGAGUAAUCUAUGUCCCUCUCUCUCCCUGCAGGGAGACCAUGGUCCACCUGGGUCUUCCAGCCCUCGUGGGCCACCAGGGCUGGGAAUAGUCGGCCCGAAGGGUGACCAGGGCUUCCCAGGGCAGCACGGACCACAGGGAGAGAGAGGAGUUGUGGAGCCAGGGCCGAAGGGUGAACCAGGACCUGACGGAUCCUCUGGGAUACCUGGUAUACUUGGGGAAGAUGGAGCGGUCCAACCUAAGGUUGUCACGUCCUGACCAGUAUAAGGGUUAUUUGUUAUUGUAGUUUGGUCAGGACGUGGCAGAGGGUAUUUUGUUUAUGUGGUUCGGGGUGGUGAUUUAUUUAAUAGGGUGUUGGUUUAGUUAGUUCUGGGUUUUUGGGGUUAUGUUCUAGGUUUGUAUUUCUAUGUGGUCUCUAGUCUUUUGUAUUUCUAUGUCUAGUUUAUUGGGGUUGGACUC